rnacentral:lncRNA from 1 species
UGCUGGGAUCUUUCAAUCACCAAAAGAAGUUAAGAACACUAUCGGGAGUAAAAACUCUAAUUUUGGCCUCACGAAACGGAAAGACCAAAACUCCCAGAUGUCACUGUUCAUCUUUUCACAAUGAGAAAAAUUGCACUGCAGAUUUGCUAUUGGAUAGGCCCCAGUCAAGAGGUUUGGGCGUUGGAGCAUCAGAGAGAUUUUGCAUA